rnacentral:rRNA from 1 species
AAAGUUUGAUGCUGGCUCAGAACGAACGCUGGCGGCAGGCCUAACACAUGCAAGUCGAGCGAGACCUUCGGGUCUAGCGGCGGACGGGUUAGUAACGCGUGGGAAUAUACCCUUCACUACGGAAUAGCCUCGGGAAACUGGGAGUAAUACCGUAUACGCCCUUCGGGGGAAAGAUUUAUCGGUGAAGGAUUAGCCCGCGUCUGAUUAGAUAGUUGGUGGGGUAACGGCCUACCAAGUCGACGAUCAGUAGCUGGUUUGAGAGGAUGAUCAGCAACACUGGGACUGAGACACGGCCCAGACUCCUACGGGAGGCAGCAGUGGGGAAUCUUAGACAAUGGGCGCAAGCCUGAUCUAGCCAUGCCGCGUGAGUGACGAAGGCCUUAGGGUCGUAAAGCUCUUUCGCCAGAGAUGAUAAUGACAGUAUCUGGUAAAGAAACCCCGGCUAACUCCGUGCCAGCAGCCGCGGUAAUACGGAGGGGGUUAGCGUUGUUCGGAAUUACUGGGCGUAAAGCGCGCGUAGGCGGACUAUUAAGUCAGGGGUGAAAUCCCGGGGCUCAACCCCGGAACUGCCUUUGAUACUGGUAGUCUAGAGUUCGAGAGAGGUGAGUGGAAUUCCGAGUGUAGAGGUGAAAUUCGUAGAUAUUCGGAGGAACACCAGUGGCGAAGGCGGCUCACUGGCUCGAUACUGACGCUGAGGUGCGAAAGUGUGGGGAGCAAACAGGAUUAGAUACCCUGGUAGUCCACACCGUAAACGAUGAAUGCCAGACGUCGGGGGGCUUGCCCUU